rnacentral:lncRNA from 1 species
GCCUUUCGGAGCUGUGCGGCAUUCUGAGCAGGUAUGCAAUUUCCUGAGUAUGUUAUGGCUUCGGGCCUUGGAGGCUGAAGCACUGGAAGCUGGUGGGAUUCCCGGCGCAGCCGGUGAGCUUAGUUCAGGGCACAAGCUGGAAACUUUAGGAGGAAUGGCAGUGUGGACCUCUGUGAUGGGACAUCUUGUGGGAUCUCACAGCCAGUUCUGUGGCAAAGGAGGAUGAAGGCUUACGAGGACUCGUCAGGAAGCUGGAUAACAGAGCGAGCGCAAUGUGCUAGAAUAGAAGACCAGAAAAUGAAAUGGUGGAGUUUGAGGCUGGAUAGACAGUUUGAAAGGUACAAAUAAUGGUUUGAAUAAAGAAAGGUAUUAAUGGGUCACCUCAAGUGAAGGCACUGCAAACACAAUGAUUGGUCAUUCUGAAUUUCCGGUCCUUCAUUCUGAAUUUCAAAGGCUCCUGUGACAAGUGGACAUGCAGUGACUGCACCUUUGUUUCUGAGGUGCCUGGAUGGAGGCUCAAAUAGAAGAUGGUGUCAGAUAUAUUGUGUUAAAAUUUUACCAUUAAAGUGUAUUAUAACAUGAA